rnacentral:tmRNA from 1 species
GGGGGUGACCGGCUUUGACGGUCCUGUACUUUGAGAGACGUGCGACGCAGUGGAAGGAUACUGACCACUUAAAAACGUAUUCAAUCAAACUUGCCAAGAACACUCUUGCAAGCGUAAAGUCGCCUUACUUCGGUAAGAAGGACUUUGCGUUCGCUUACGCGUAAAAGCUUCGCGCUUUCGCCUAAGCGACGUUCAUACAUCUUCGUUCCUUCAGGAAUAUGUAUGGGCGGAAUCUUCUGAAGGAUCGGUAUCGAAGGUCUCCCUGCCUUCGGCUUAAAAGACGGGACUAGGCAGAAGCGAUUUGGCUAACGUUCCUAUGCUUCUGCUGAACCCUCAACGUUAGCUACGCGUCGUAGACUCGCUCUUAAAGCAGGAUUCGGACCGGAGUUCAACUCUCCGCACCUCCACAU